UGAUGCUGUGAAGAGAGGCCAUUUAACACGGACUACGGGGAAUGGUGCCACAGGGGGCUCAGUGCUGCCCUUCACUCUCAGCAUUUUGCUCACUCAGCAUUGGUGACAGGAUGUCCCAAAAGUAACAAAAGAUGGGAGCCAGUCCUCUCAUAGCUGUUUCUUCAAUCAUCCCAUCAACAGCUCUUCAUUUAUUGAACUACCUUCCUUUUCCAAAGAGGUAAUGCUGAGAUCAGUCAGAAAGGCUUUCUGAGAAAACUGGCUUGGAUUUCUGGGUCUGUUGCAGUCAAUUCAAGAUGAACUGGCUUGUAUCAAUGAAGCGCUCAAUGCAGUUCACAAAACAGGCCUCAGCCCGACUGUCCAACUUUGGCCCAGGCUUGUCCAUGCACUUCUCCCAACAAAGUUCAGUCAUCUGGUGCACCAGCUGCUGGAAGCGCUGCUUUUGAGUCUCUACCUCAAUGAAAAUGCUGCAACUGCGGGUCCACUGCACCCAAACCCGCCGCAGAGGAAGAGCAGGAGGAAUCCAUCCCAGGACAACCAUGCUUGCAGAGACGAACUCCGCACCAACCUUCACGUGUCUCCACGACCUAGUUAAUCAAUUUAAAAUGAGGUCACUAGGGUGGGCCCCAAUCCAAUAUGACUGAUAACUUUAUAAAAAGGAGAGAUUUGGAUACAGAAAGAGACAGAGUGAAAACCAUGUGAAGAAACAUAGGAAAAGAUGGCA
rnacentral:lncRNA from 10 species